UUAAGUUCAGCGGGUAGUCCUACCUGAUUUGAGGUCAAAUUGUCAAAAGUUGUCCUUGCGGACGGUUAGAAGCAAGUCUAAACCCCAUCCACGGCGUAGAUAAUUAUCACACCAAUAGACGGAGUUCAAUAUGAACUCGCUAAUGCAUUUCAGAGGAGCUGACCGCUCAGAGAGCAGCCGGCACGACCUCCACAUCCAAG
rnacentral:misc_RNA from 1 species